GACGAACGCUGGCGGCAUGCCUAAUACAUGCAAGUCGAGCGAACAUUUAUAGAAUCUUGCUUCUUUAAAUGUUAGCGGCGGAUGGGUGAUUAACACGUAGGCAACCUGUCCUGCAGAUGAGGAUAACUCCGGCAAACCGGGGCUAACACCGGAUCAUCAGUUUGUCCGCAUGGACAAACUCUAAAAGCCGGCUUCGGCUGUCACUGCAGGAUUUGCCCGCGGCGCAUUAGCUAGUUGGUGGGAUAACGGCCUACCAAGGCAACGAUGCGUAGCCGACCUGAGAGGGUGAUCGGCCACACUGGGACUGAGACACGGCCCAGACUCCUACGGGAGGCAGCAGUAGGGAAUCUUCCACAAUGGACGGAAGUCUGAUGGAGCAAUGCCGCGUGAGCGAAGAAGGUUUUCGGAUCGUAAAGCUCUGUUGUGAGGGAAGAACAAGUACGGGAGUAACUGCCCGUAGCUUGACGGUACCUCAUGAGAAAGCCACGGCUAACUACGUG
rnacentral:rRNA from 1 species